rnacentral:rRNA from 1 species
GGAAUAUUGGUCAAUGGGCGCUAGCCUGAACCAGCCAAGUAGCGUGAAGGAUGACUGCCCUAUGGGUUGUAAACUUCUUUUAUAUGGGAAUAAAGUGCAGUAUGUAUACUGCUUUGCAUGUACCUUAUGAAUAAGGAUCGGCUAACUCCGUGCCAGCAGCCGCGGUAAUACGGAGGAUGCGAGCGUUAUCCGGAUUCAUUGGGUUUAAAGGGUGCGCAGGCGGGCCUUUAAGCCGGCGGUGAAAUCGCGGGGCUCAACCCCGCCGAGCCGUCGGAACUGGGGGCCUUGAGUGCGGCGGAGGCAUGCGGAAUGCGCGGUGUAGCGGUGAAAUGCAUAGAUAUCGCGCAGAACCCCGAUUGCGAAGGCAGCGUGCCGUGCCGCCACUGACGCUGAGGCACGAAAGCGCGGGGAUCGAACAG